CCAUGGCGUACAGGUGAGUAAUACAUAAGAAUUUGCCCUAAAGUCUUGGGAUAACCAUAUUUAUUAAUUUUUUAAUAAAGAAUGUUUUGCAGUGGUAAUACUAGAUAGCAAAAAGUUAAAUACUGCUUUAGGAUAAGCUUGUGCAGGAUUAGGUAGUUGGUGAGGUAAAAGCUCACCAAGCCGAUGAUCCUUAGCUGGUCUGAGAGGACGGUCAGCCACACUGGGACUGAGAUAAGGCCCAGGCUUUUAGCCAGCAGUGAGGAAUUUUGGACAAUGGGCGAAAGCCUGAUCCAGUAAUGCUGCGUAAAUGAUGAUAAGCACAAAAGAUUUUUAAUUUAUUAUUAAUCGGUUUUAAAGUUCUUUCACUGAUGAAGAUAAUGACGUUAAUCAGAGAAGAAGUCCCGGCUAACUUCGUGCCAGCAGCCGCGGUAAUACGAAGGGGGCGAGCGUUAUCCGGAAUUACUGGGCGUAAAGUGUUCGUAGACGGUAUCUGUUGUUUUAUGUAAAAUAUUAAGUUAGUAGCUU
rnacentral:rRNA from 1 species